UACGUAGGGGGCAAGCGUUGUCCGGAGUUACUGGGCGUAAAGCGCACGCAGGCGGUCUGUUAAGUUUGGCGUGACAGUUGGUGGCUUAACUGCCAAAGUGCUUCGAAAACUGAUCGACUUGAGGGCUUCAGAGGGACACGGAAUUCCGGGUGGAGUGGUGAAAUGCGUAGAGAUCCGGAGGAACACCGAAGGCGAAGGCAGUGUCCUGGGGAGUACCUGACGCUCAGGUGCGAAAGCCAGGGGAGCGAACGGG
rnacentral:rRNA from 1 species